rnacentral:misc_RNA from 1 species
UUUCCGUAGGUGAACCUGCGGAAGGAUCAUUAUCGUGGGGCUUCGGCCCUCUCGAGAUAGAACCCUUGCCUUUUUGAGUACCUUCGUUUCCUCGGCAGGCUCGCCUGCCAAUGGGGACCCCAAUAAACCCUUUGUAACACCUGUAAUCGUCUGACAAAACAAACAAAAAUUAAAACUUUCAACAACGGAUCUCUUGGUUCUG